rnacentral:lncRNA from 10 species
GCAUUACAAGUUUCUUCAAACAUCACCUUUUCCGAAGGUAACAUUUGAAUUUGGUUAUUUCUAGGAAAAGACGCCAGUUCAGAAGGUCCUGGAUGUUGAGGCCUGACUUCCCAGUCACCACCCAUGCCCUUAAACAAACUAAACAAGAGUUGCUGACUGUGCUAGUUACACUUUGUACAAGCUUUUGUUAAAGUCUACCCAUUUAUUUACCACUCAAGGCAGGCCCAAGUAGAUACCAGCUGGGGAGGUCCAGUGGCCAGCCAAACUGGGCCCAACAUGGCAACUUCUCAAGGAAAUGCAUGACUAGCCUCCAUGUUAAAUUCUCAAAGUGCAGUACCUGUUAACAACUCUGUGAGGUAUACGCUUUUAUUCCAAUCUUGCAGCUGAAGAUUCUAAGAAGGGCUGAGGAAGUCGCUCAAGGAUAUACAGAAAAGGGAAGCCUGAAAUUGUGGUGAUCUGAUGAUGUCACUGCCACAUGAAGAGAGGACAUCUUUGAGAAGUAAACAAUCCACGCACCCGAGCAGAGAGUUUGAAAUGUCACCACUCAACUUCCUCGCCAUGAUGACAGAGGCAGCAGUCUCUUGAGGGAAUUAAACAACAUGCUGAAAUUAAGAAUCUGAUCCCUUUCUCUGAUCUGUUGGCAAAUCUGGGAAAAGUCAAAACUAUUAGCAGAAGUGUAAUUUUAAAAAUCCCCAUAUGGGCUGAGCAUGGUGGCUCACUCCUGAAAUCCCAGCACUUUGGGAGGCCAAGGCAGGCAAAUUACCUUGGUCAGGAGUUCCAGACCAGCCUGGCCAACAUGGUGAAACCCCCACCUCUACAAAAAAUACAAAAAAUAAAAUAAAAAUAAAAAUCCCCAUAUCAAUGUUCUCAGCUUUGGGGCAGCUGCUAUUUACCAGUCAUAUCUUAAAAGAGCCCAUCAAAAUCCCAUCAGCCACCACAAAAAUUAGAAUUUAUGUCAAACCCCUACCCUAUCACCUCACAAACAACAGAAACUUAAUAAAUGGUAAUUAUAUUGAUG